rnacentral:rRNA from 1 species
GACGAACGCUGGCGGCGUGCUUAACACAUGCAAGUCGAACGGAAAGGCCAUGCUCUUGUGGGGUGCUCGAUUGGCGAACGGGGGAGUAACACGCGAGUAUCCCGCCCUUGACUUUGGGAUAACAUCAGGAAACUGGGGCUAAUACCGGAUAUAAGCUUCUGAUGCAUGGGGGGGGAUGGAAAGUGUCGGCUGUAUUGGAUCGACUCGCGGCUUAUCAGCUUGUUAGGGGGGUAGUGGAUGACAAAGGCUUUGACGGAUAGCCGGCCUUGGAGCGUGGCCGGCCACAUUGGGACUGCGAUACGGCCCAGACGCCUACGGGCGGCAGCAGUGGGGAAUAUUGCGCAAUGGGCGGAAGCCUGAUGCAGCAGCGCCGCGUGCGGGAUGACGGCUUUCGGGUUGUAAACCGCUUUCGCCUGUGCCGAAGCGUUAGUGACGGUAAUGGGUCAAGAAGCACCGGCUAACUACGUG